rnacentral:misc_RNA from 1 species
UCUCCGUUGGUGAACCAGCGGAGGGAUCAUUACCGAGUUUACAACUCCCAAACCCAAUGUGAACGUUACCAAACUGUUGCCUCGGCGGGGUCACGCCCCGGGUGCGUCGCAGCCCCGGAACCAGGCGCCCGCCGGAGGAACCAACCAAACUCUUUCUGUAGUCCCCUCGCGGACGUUAUUUCUUACAGCUCCGAGCAAAAAUUCAAAAUGAAUCAAAACUUUCAACAACGGAUCUCUUGGUUCUG